GUGACUAAUGAAAUUUUAAUCAUUCUCUGCAACACAAAUUAUGUGGACACUAAGUAACCUUGUAAGUUGGUUACAAGAAGUGAGGUAGGGGAGCCUGAUAAGGAACAUUGCCCAUGAGAGAGAGAAAGCAGUUUCUUCCAAGGAUGGAUGCAGUUGGGAAAAGAGCUUGUGACAAUCAUCUGGCUUCCUGUGAUAAACUCGCUGAAGGAAGGCUUCCUUCCUGAAGUUCAGUUCCUUGGUACUGCCAGCCCACACCUUCCUGCUACAUCUCAGCAAUCAUGGGCUGACACUUCUCCCUCAGAACUAACCCUCUUUCUUCCCUAUUUCCUCUUUUUUAGGCCCGGAAGAAGGGGAACCCAUUAGUCACUCAUCUUCACUCCAAUCCAUGAAGACAGUCCUUUGUGUCUAAGUUAAAUAACCACGGUGGCUUAUAUGUUUACUCAGAAGGGCUCUCAUCUCAUCCCUCUAUGGUUUCUACCCCCUUACUUCCUACAUGUACUUGUAAAUGGCAUUGUUGUAAGCUGCUUUGUGAGUGUGUGACUUACUGUGACCCUUGGGACUCCGCCACAAGCCUGAAAAGCCACUCAUGUGAGCCUAUCUUAAAAUUGAAUUCAAGUGAUGUCAUGAUCAAAAUUCAGCCCACCCAAAGCUGUGAAGUCACAGUGGUAUGGAGGAAGGAUUGGUUUGUGCUUGACGCAUCACCCAACCACGGCCAUCUUUGUCUUCGCACGCUUGCUAGUGGAUUUUAUCAUAUGACACGGGGGAUUUGCGCCCCUUUCUAAAGUUAAUUAAAAUUUCCCAUCUUUAAUUUCUUUUCUUUUUUUUAAAAAAUUUUUCUUGUUGUCUUUUAGUAUUUGGAUGUUCUUGUGUUGGAAACGACAGUGUUUUUUAAAUUAACUAAUUAACUUCUUUAUUAUUGUAGAGUGUGUGUGUGUGUGUGUGUGUGUGUGUGUGUGUGUGUGCGUGCGCGUGCGUGCUCACAUGUGUCCUGGCAUGUGUGUGAAGACCAGAAGACUUCUUUGGGGAGCUAGUUCUUUCCUUUCACCAUGCAGGUUUGGGGGACCAAACUCAGGCUGCCAGACUCAUGCCGGAAGUGUUUUUAGCUGUGGAGCCAUGGGGCCAUCUUGCCAGCCCUAGACAUUCUUUUUUAAAUUGCUCCUAAAGUGAAGUUUCUUUUUGGAUUAGAAUUAGAAUGUGAUUAUUAUUUCCCAUUUGAUGAUUAUUAUUAUUAUUUUACUCUGAAACCUUGAUUUGAGCAAGCAUUCAGGUUAGAGACCAAAUAUAAAUAAAAGGCAUUGGUGACAAGUUGUAUGGCAGACCUGUGAAGUCACUCCACUCUUCCAUUCCAAGGAAGGCACACACAAGCAUAGCCUCCUAAAGCUCUCUCCUUUGGGGCUUUUGGAAUGUAAAAUGUGGGAGUCUGGGGUUUACCUUUUGAUACCACAAUGUAAGUCCUAAGAACCUUUUCUAGAGCUAUUCAGGGUAUUAUGGCCAUCAGUGUAGGAGCUUAGCUGUGUGUAGGUGAAAAAGCAGAUAAUAACCAUCUUAUAGGAAUCUAGAGAGAGCACCUUCGACGUUUGUCAUAUCUCUGAUCCACUCCUGUUAAUUCUGUCUUUGUAGUCUCAUAAAUCUCUCACAAGGCAGGAACGGUGAGUACUGGGAAGAAGAGGUAAGAAUGGUUAAGGACUUUUUCAAGUGCAUUCAUUGAUAAGUAGCUAGACAGUCAUUCAGACCUCGUCCAUUGCCCUUCCCACUCAAGCCUCUCACCAGAGACUUGUUCAUGUAACUCACAUGUCUUUCUUAGAUGGAUCCUUUUGGCAGGGAUUCGUUUUCUGGACUUCUUCAUUAGUUCUAAUAUUCACAGAAAAUAAUGCUUCUUUUUCAUAAAGACCCCUACAACAGUAAGGACCAAAACAAUUUGUCCAAAGGAAUAGAAGGCCAGAAAUAUACCAGAUUAUCUGCAUUUUACUGCCAAAUGCUACCCACAUGAAAACUGCCCUAAGGAAACUGGUUUUGCCAGAAUUAGGGUUGGUUUUAUUUGUUUGUUUAAUAUCUAUGUCUCUAUCUAUCUAUCUAUCUAUCUAUCUAUCUAUCUAUCUAUCUAUCUAUCUGUCUAUCUAUCUAUCGCUGUUGUUGUUUUAACAGCAGAGAAGAAGAAAUUUGUGUAGUAAGCCUGGACUGGGAAUUUUUAUCUAUACUACACUUAAAUGGUGAAUUCAAUUGACUAAAAGGAAGAAGGCUGUAUGAUAGUCCAACCACCUCACCCGAAGUUACAGAACCCACAGAGACUCGCUAUCAGGUUGUUCAGGAAGUGCCACAGGUGCAUUCUGGUUCGUAACAGCUUCACAAGGGUUUAAAAUACAACUCUUAACAUAACAUGGCUCUCCGCAGUGCCUAGAUCCUGUAAAAGACAGACAGACAGACAAAAGAAUCCCUGUUGAUAUAAAGACGUCCUGUCAACCUAAAUGGCUAUCAUUUACUGUAAAAGUAACUUUCAACUGCACAAAGAUUCGAGAGUUAGCAGAAAACUGCCCCAGGACCACAAUGUAACAACUACCACGCUAAGAAGAAAUGGGAAAACAACUGAAAUUUUGCAUGUCACAACUUCUCAAAAGUUUUAAACGAAUUGAUGCCCAUUAGAGUAAGCAUCCUGUAAAUUCAAAUUAAGAUGCAUAAUCACAAUACUUAAUUAAGGUUUGUAAUCGUAAGUGGAAACGUUUAUUUUAUGGAUUGUUUUGGAACACAUUAGUGUGUGAAGUUCUACAAUGCUCACAGAAUUAUUAGACUUUGAAAUAUAAUUUAAUAUAAUGGGAUAUUGUGUUUAAGAAGAGACAGACUUGAAAAGAAAAUGAAGCAUACAAUGCAGUUUUAUAUUUUUGAACCGAAGUUUUCAAUAGGAACCUUUUAAACAAAGUGCCUUUUAAAAAUUCGCUACAUGUAAAGUGACAGCCUUUGGAAGCUAAAGUUAAUAGAUUAUGGGAUAACUAGAUCUUCUAAAUCGAAGAUAUGAAUAAGUUGAAUAUGCGUGUUUUAAACUUUGAAUGUUCUUUCCUCUGCAGAAAAUACUCCCGGGGUACCAGAAAACUUGGUUAACACUAAAUCGCACUCAUCUGCUCAUCUUGGUAAUUUUAGAUUAAGUUUUCUUCAUUUUUUUUUCCAUUGGUUUUCCCUGAGAAAAACAACUCAAGAAAAAAGGAAAAGUCUUUG